CCUACGGGAGGCAGCAGUAGGGAAUCUUCCACAAUGGGCGAAAGCCUGAUGGAGCAACGCCGCGUGGGUGAAGAAGGUCUUCGGAUCGUAAAACCCUGUUGUUAGAGAAGAAAGUGCGUGAGAGUAACUGUUCACGUUUCGACGGUAUCUAACCAGAAAGCCACGGCUAACUACGUGCCAGCAGCCGCGGUAAUACGUAGGUGGCAAGCGUUAUCCGGAUUUUUUGGGCGUAAAGGGAACGCAGGCGGUCAUUUAAGUCUGAUGGGAAAGCCUUCGGCUUAACCGGAGUAGUGCAUUGGAAACUGGUGGACUUGAGUGCAGAAGAGGAGAGGGGAACUCCAUGGGUAGCGGUUAAAUGCGUAGAUAUAUGGAAGAACACCAGUGGCGAAAGCGGCUCUCUGGUCUGUAACUGACGCUGAGGUUCGAAAGCGUGGGUAGCAAACAGGAUUAGAUACCCCUGUAGUUC
rnacentral:rRNA from 1 species